rnacentral:rRNA from 1 species
CUGACAGAAUGCUUAACACAUGCAAGUCUACUUGAAUUUGGGUUUUUUAACUUCGAUUUGGGUGGCGGACGGGUGAGUAACGCGUAAAGAACUUGCCUCACAGCUAGGGACAACAUUUGGAAACGAAUGCUAAUACCUGAUAUUAUGAUUAUAGGGCAUCCUAGAAUUAUGAAAGCUAUAUGCGCUGUGAGAGAGCUUUGCGUCCCAUUAGCUAGUUGGUGAGGUAACGGCUCACCAAGGCGAUGAUGGGUAGCCGGCCUGAGAGGGUGAACGGCCACAAGGGGACUGAGACACGGCCCUUACUCCUACGGGAGGCAGCAGUGGGGAAUAUUGGACAAUGGACCGAGAGUCUGAUCCAGCAAUUCUGUGUGCACGAUGACGUUUUUCGGAAUGUAAAGUGCUUUCAGUUGGGAAGAAAAAAAUGACGGUACCAACAGAAGAAGUGACGGCUAAAUACGUGCCAGCAGCCGCGGUAAUACGUAUGUCACGAGCGUUAUCCGGAUUUAUUGGGCGUAAAGCGCGUCUAGGUGGUUAUGUAAGUCUGAUGUGAAAAUGCAGGGCUCAACUCUGUAUUGCGUUGGAAACUGUGUAACUAGAGUACUGGAGAGGUAAGCGGAACUACAAGUGUAGAGGUGAAAUUCGUAGAUAUUUGUAGGAAUGCCGAUGGGGAAGCC